UACGAAGGGUGCGAAACGUUGCUCGGAAUUAUUGGGCGUAAAGCGCACGUAGGCGGCUUUUCAAGUCCCAUGUGGAAAGCCCACGGCUUAACCGUGGAAGUGCAUGGGAAACUGGAAGGCUUGAGUACUUGAAGAGGAUCGCGGAAUUCCCGGUGUAGAGGUGAAAUUCGUAGAUAUCGGGAGGAACACCAGUGGCGAAGGCGGCGAUCUGGGAAGAUACUGACGCUGAGGUGCGAAAGCGGUGGGGAGCAAACAGGG
rnacentral:rRNA from 1 species